CCUCCGUAUUGGCUGUUUGACAGAAAGCUAGCCCUCCGUAUUGGCUGUUUGACAGAAAGCUAGCCCUCCGUGUUGGCUGUUUGCAUUCCAGAAGCACUUCCUUUUCAUUUCAUAUUGAGCCACUUUACGCCCAUUUUAUUAGUCCAACUGCGUUCCAUGCUAGAAGUGAUUGUGGUGUGUGUGUGUGUGUGUGUGUGUGUGUGUGUGUGUGUGUGUGUGUGUGUGUGUGUGUGUGUGUGUGUGUGUGUGUGUGUCUGUAUGAGUGUGUAAACUGCAUGGCCCUCACAACUCUCCAGUUUCGCUCAGGCUCUUAACCUCUCUCUCCAACUGCUCUCUCCCUCUUUCUCUCACCAGAUAGACAAAUGAAUGUUGCAGAGCUCCUCUCCCCCUGCCUCUCCCUCUUUCCGCCCUGCUUCCCCCUUCUCCUCCUGCCUCAGGCAGCAGACUAACCAGCCUUUAAAUCAUUAAUAAGCAGAAAAUGAAACUGCAUAUGUCUGCUGCCGGAGAUAUUGACUAGGCACUUCUUUCUCCUCUUCACCUCUCUUUCAUUUGAUGCCGUGAAUUUAACCAACAAGCCACUCAUAUUUAGAGGAGCUAAAGCUGUGAAAAACUGAUUACUGUAUGUAGACUACAGCUGGGGAGGGAUGAUUGCUGUAUGUAUGUAUGUAUGUAUGUAUGUAUGUAUGUAUGUAUGUAUGUAUGUAUGUAUGUAUGUAUGUAUGUAUGUAUGUAUGUAUGUAUGCAUGCAUGCAUGUAGACUAUACCUGAGGGAUGUUUGCUGUAUGUAUGUAUGUAUGUAUGUAUGUAUGUAUGUAUGUAUGUAUACUAUACCUGGGAAGGGAUGUUUGCUGUAUGUAUGUAUGUAUGUAUGUAUGUAUGUAUGUAUGUAUGUAUGUAUGUAUGUAUGUAUGCAUGUAUGUAUGUAUGUAUGUAUGAAUGAAUGUAGACUAUACCUGGGGAGGGAUGAUUGCUGUAUGAAUGUAGACUAUACCUGGGGAGGGAUGAUUGCUGUACGUAGAC
rnacentral:lncRNA from 1 species